AGCAGUCGCCACGGGAAUACGUAGGUGGCAAGCGUUGUCCGGAAUUAUUGGGCGUAAAGGGCUCGCAGGCGGUUUCUUAAGUCUGAUGUGAAAGCCCCCGGCUCAACCGGGGAGGGUCAUUGGAAACUGGGAAACUUGAGUGCAGAAGAGGAGAGUAGAAUUCCACGUGUAGCGGUGAAAUGCGUAGAGAUGUGGAGGAACACCAGUGGCGAAGGCGACUCACUGGUCUGUAACUGACGCUGAGGAGCGAAAGCGUGGGGAGCGAACAGGAUUAGAUACCCGAGUAGUCCCUGUCUCUUAUAC
rnacentral:rRNA from 1 species